rnacentral:lncRNA from 1 species
GAUUGAACAACAGCAUAACACUUUCCUAACCGAUUCCCACAGGUGCAUGCAUUGAGCUGAGGGCUGGGAGAGCACUUUGUUGGGAGCCCCAGUUAAGGGAUUCGUGGUACUCAUGAGGAGCAGAGAUGCAUGAGUCUCCUCGCUGACUUUUCAGGUCCUCUCGCCGUUGUCUGACUCCAUCCUGGCUGAGAAGACGGUGAUUGUCCUGGAUGACCGAGUCGCCAUCGUGGAGCUGGGAGUGCAGCUCGUAGCUGGCAUGUCUCUCUCCCUGCAGCCACACCGAGCAGACAAAAGGGCCAUCGUCUCCACAGCCGCUGCCCUGGAUGUUCUUCUGUCCCCACAGCAGGAAGGAAACUUCUCCAGGGUAGCAUAUCCAUCAUGCAAUCC